rnacentral:ncRNA from 1 species
GAAUGAGCGACGACAAGAACUUUAUUAAGCCGGUCUCCCUGUUAACAGAGAAUCAGUGGUUGGUGGAAACUGAUACAAAGACUAGGUGAAUUUCAUUCUUGGAGCUUUUUUUUAUACUGUAACUUAUUGAAAUUAGUAUAAAAACGGAUCAAACCGUUAUUUGACCAAGUGGGAAACACGUAUUGUUUCCAAUUAGGGUGGUACCGCGUGAUGAGCCACGUCCCUAUC